UACAGAGGGGGCGAGCGUUAUUCGGAAUUAUUGGGCGUAAAGGGCGCGUAGGCGGCCUUUCAAGUGACGGGUGAAAUCCCUCGGCUUAACCGAGGAACUGCCUGUCAGACUGGAAGGCUUGAGACCGGGAGAGGUGAGUGGAAUUCCCAGUGUAGCGGUGAAAUUCGUAGAUAUCGGGAGGAACACCAGUGGCGAAGGCGGCGACCUGGGAAGAUACUGACGCUGAGGUGCGAAAGCGUGGGGAGCAAACAGG
rnacentral:rRNA from 1 species